UGCGCGCCGGGCAGUUCAUGGUCAGACACUCAGACUGACGACGACAGCGACAGCGGCCUGUGCUGUGCUCCGGGCUCCGUGCUGCGCUCCUUGACUCCGAGCACUGAGACUACCACUGGCACCGCGAGUAGUCGUGUUGCUUCACGUUUGACAUCCAACAACAAAAGAUUGUGGAGACGAGGAGCGCCUCCUAGUCGCAGACCGCGCCGCCACCGGCGCCCAGCUCCACGUGCGAACAGCGACGUGCUGCGGACAGCAAUCCCCAACAGCCGACUUCUGCAGGUAUC